rnacentral:hammerhead_ribozyme from 1 species
AAGCGAAACGGCUCAGAUUGAGCCGUCACCAUGGAGUGGUGUCCAUGGUCUGACGAGCAGCCAAUU